GACGAACGCUGGCGGCGUGCUUAACACAUGCAAGUCGAACGGAAAGGCCCUGCUUUUGUUGGGUGCUCGAGUGGCGAACGGGUGAGUAACACGUGAGUAACCUGCCCUUGACUUUGGGAUAACUUCAGGAAACUGGGGCUAAUACCGGAUAUGAUCUCCUGCUGCAUGGUGGUGGUUGGAAAGUUUCGGCGGUUGGGGACGGACUCGCGGCUUAUCAGCUUGUUGGGGGGGUAGUUGCUUACCAAGGCUUUGACGGGUAGCCGGCCUGAGAGGGUGACCGGCCACAUUGGGACUGAGAUACGGCCCAGACUCCUACGGGAGGCAGCAGUGGGGAAUAUUGCACAAUGGGCGGAAGCCUGAUGCAGCAACGCCGCGUGCGGGAUGACGGCCUUCGGGUUGUAAACCGCUUUCGCCUGUGACGAAGCGUGAGUGACGGUAAUGGGUAAAGAAGCAACGGCUAACUACGUG
rnacentral:rRNA from 1 species